AAGUCGAGCGAACGGACGAGAAGCUUGCUUCUCUGAUGUUAGCGGCGGACGGGUGAGUAACACGUGGAUAACCUACCUAUAAGACUGGGAUAACUUCGGGAAACCGGAGCUAAUACCGGAUAAUAUUUUGAACCGCAUGGUUCAAAAGUGAAAGACGGUCUUGCUGUCACUUAUAGAUGGAUCCGCGCUGCAUUAGCUAGUUGGUAAGGUAACGGCUUACCAAGGCAACGAUGCAUAGCCGACCUGAGAGGGUGAUCGGCCACACUGGAACUGAGACACGGUCCAGACUCCUACGGGAGGCAGCAGUAGGGAAUCUUCCGCAAUGGGCGAAAGCCUGACGGAGCAACGCCGCGUGAGUGAUGAAGGUCUUCGGAUCGUAAAACUCUGUUAUUAGGGAAGAACAUAUGUGUAAGUAACUGUGCACAUCUUGACGGUACCUAAUCAGAAAGCCACGGCUAACUACGUGCCAGCAGCCGCGGUAAUACGUAGGUGGCAAGCGUUAUCCGGAAUUAUUGGGCGUAAAGCGCGCGUAGGCGGUUUUUUAAGUCUGAUGUGAAAGCCCACGGCUCAACCGUGGAGGGUCAUUGGAAACUGGAAAACUUGAGUGCAGAAGAGGAAAGUGGAAUUCCAUGUGUAGCGGUGAAAUGCGCAGAGAUAUGGAGGAACACCAGUGGCGAAGGCGACUUUCUGGUCUGUAACUGACGCUGAUGUGCGAAAGCGUGGGGAUCAAACAG
rnacentral:rRNA from 1 species